AUUCAGGAGCCAAGCAAUGAGGCAGGCAGCCUGCUUUCCAGGGGUGAGCAAGCCCCAGACGGUAUCUCCUGGAUGCCAGUGAGCGGCUGACAGCUGAAGCUCCCUGGACACUCAAGGCUCUUGUGGUGACAGGCCUGGCGUAAAGGCGUGCAGGGAGGCCUAGCUCUGUUUCCUGGACUCAGUGACUUCAGACACAGAAGUCUGUCCAUGGCUCCUUAUCACAUCCGCAAAUACCAGGAGAGCGACCGCAAGUAGGUCGUGGGCUUGCUCUCCCGGGGGAUGGCCGAACACGCCCCAGCCACCUUCCGGCGAUUACUGAAGCUGCCUCGAACCCUCAUACUCUUACUUGGGGGGGCCCUUGCCCUACUCCUGGUCUCUGGCUCCUGGAUUCUGGCCCUCGUGUUCAGCCUCAGCCUCCUUCCUGCCCUGUGGUUCCUUGCCAAAAAACCCUGGACGCGGUAUGUAGACAUAGCAUUGCGCACAGACAUGUCUGACAUCACCAAAUCCUACCUGAGUGAGUGUGGCUCCUGCUUCUGGGUGGGUGAAUCUGAAGAGAAGGUGGUGGGCACAGUAGGAGCUCUGCCCGUUGAUGAUCCCACCUUGAGGGAGAAGCGGUUGCAGCUGUUUCAUCUCUCUGUGGACAAUGAGCACCGUGGUCAGGGGAUAGCAAAAGCCCUGGUCAGGACUGUCCUCCAGUUUGCCCGGGACUAGGGCUACAGUGAAGUUGUCCUGGACACCAGCAACAUCCAGCUCUCUGCCAUGGGCCUCUACCAGAGCUUGGGCUUCAAGAAGACGGGCCAGUCCUUCUUCCACGUGUGGGCCAGGCUGGUGGAUCUUCAUACAGUUCAUUUCAUCUAUCACCUCCCUUCUGCUCAGGCAGGGCGUCUAUGAUUUCUUUCCUUCUGUAUUGGUCAGAAUAGAAUCCAUUCGGCUGUAGCAGCAAGCAAUCCCCAACCUCUGACUGCAAUGACCUUUCUGUGCAAUAAAAGCUUAUUGUCCAUUAA